UCCAGUUUAUUUGAAACUCUUCCUUAUCAAAUUUGGUUCUCCUUAUUGGACAAAAAACAUCAAUAUCUUAUUGGACAAAAAACAUGGAUUUAUACUUCUGGGAAGAGUUUCAGAUAAACUGGAUAUCAAUGCACAUUUUCAUGAGAGAAACCAUCAGUACAUAUACUCUAUGAGAUCAAUGCCUGCCUCCUGCUUUGCAUAAGAUGCACCAAAACCAAAGGAGAUGAAAGCACAUACUAAGAUGAUGAGUAGGUGAAAAUAUAUCUUAAUUGUUUGUGCUGUAGAAGCAAAAAGUAAAUGUACAUUCUAGCGCAAAAUACCAUCCCAUUAGUGAUCUAACUGAGUCAUGAAAAUACUUAUUUGCAAAAGUAGGGCAUCAAAUAUUUUCUCUAUAUUGUACACUGGUGGGAGUCUUAUGCACUAGGCUAUCCUUUUCUAAAAUAUGAGAAUGAUAAGUGAAUUGUGCAUGACAAGCAUUUAAAGAUGUAGAGUGUCGGUUGGAUCUAAGUUGGAGAUUCAGUUGGCCAUAUAUCUUUGCUUUGUGGAUAGCAUUUUACAAAUAAGUUUAUGUUUUAAGACUGUUAACAAAUAGUGUUUUAAAACUCCUCAAAGUAACUGAACAAUUAUAAAUGAUAAAAAGACAAUACAAGGGAAAAUAGCAUGUAUUAGAAGAGCAUUAAGGUUGCAGCCUGAAUUUUAUCUGAAUUCUAUUUGAGACUUAAGACUUAAAGUUAUGAAACAUUUCAUAUAGCCUUAUGCACUAGUAUUUGUGGAGAAACUAUAUGCCUCAUAUACGUAAAUGUAAAUGUGUAUUAUGACCAUGAGGGUAGAGUGCCACAAACCUCCACAAUAACCAAUACAUCCAAAGGAUCAUUAUCUUCGCAAAGAGUGUGUGGGGUGAAACCAUUAGUUAUAAGGAUCAUUAACUUCCAACAGAAAGAACAAAGGAAACAAUAAGGUAAAAGUAGCACGCAUACCUUUAUCAACCCACUUUGUUUUUUUGGGUCAAAUUCACAUUUCAAUUUGCUUCCCCUUACCGGCUCCACCACCUGUAGAAAUUCAAUAUUUUUGUUUACUCUCAGUCAUGGCAUCCUGUUUUAAGUACAAAUACGAAGUAUCCUUUUCAUCCACAUAAAUAUAAAUUCGAAAGACCCUAUAAAAUGAAUUGAUCAAUUAAGAUAUUAUAAAUCGUCAAAGAACCCAACAAUUGAAUAUGUCAGCUAGGUUACACACAAUUACUUUAAUACCAAAACAACUUUACCAAGUUAAUGUUCUAGCACCACAUUGAAGUCCAUUUAUUAGUAUCAAACCCUGUGAUAGGACAGCUCAUUAUUGAAAAGUUUAGUGUACUUACACAGUUGAAUAUUAUUGGCCAGGGCCUGCGAGCAAAAUCCAAAGUCCAAUUAAGAAAGGAAUUAACAAAGAAAGAGAUGAACACGCUAUUACAUGAAAAUUUUUGUUAGGAGAUUGAGUACCUAUUUAAUGAUAAUGCCAAGGAUGUGCUGUAACAGACCUUGUAGGCAUGGAUGAAAGUAUUCUUUCUUUGAGCGGGGUGGAUCAGAAAUUUGCAUGUCAGAAUCCUUUGCUGGUACUUCAGGAGGUGAAGCCAUAAUGAGAAUCUGAUAAACAUACAAUGAAUUUUCAACAUAAAGAAUGUUCAUCAUCUCAUCCUAAAUAUAUAGUUUUUGGAACAUCGAAGAAUGUAGAAUUUACUAACCAUGAGUGAAAUGCAAAAAAAAAAAAUAUAUAUUAAAACAAAAACAUGCAAAAGAAAUGUACUUUGAGACUUUUGCCACCCUAGCUUAACCAUGGCUCAUCGUCAAACUAUAUCCAUAAUGUAUCACAGAAGACAAUAGUUUGUCAAUCAACAAGCUAAUUAAUCAACAUAGAAUUUGAGCCUCUUCUGCCCAGCUAUUAAUGUCUGAGGAUUUAUUUUCAGGUUGCACGUCAUGCACAUCAUUAAAGCCAUCAAUAAGAAUUAUUAUUACACAGAAAAUAAAGUAACCAUUAUUAUUAUUGUGCCUGUCAUUGCCCUCAUCCGCAUUAAAUUAGGCCCAAAGGUAUAAGUAGCCUGCCGGCAUCAUUUAUCCAUAUGCAAAGGGCAGAUAUAUGAUGUGUUCAUACCACACGAUGUGGGUUCAAAAUCUGCAAAGCCUAUGCAAAAUGCCAUUGUUGUCGGCAUAAAAAAAAAUUAACGAAAAUUAUUAGGUUUAUUUUCAUUGAUAUGAUUUGGUAGAUAGAGCUCUAUCAGAACAGAUUGGGCAGAUCAGUGACUUUCAAGGACAAUAUUAUAACAGGAAACAGCAACGCUAUCACAUCUCUAAGAUCUUAAAGCCAGUCAUGAGAUCCGAAGAAAUAAAGCAGCAAAACUUCAUCCAACUUUACUUUGUGCACAUGUGGAACAAAUGCGGGACAAACACAGCACAACUGACUUGGACUUAUGAUGACUUCUUAUACAAGCUAUUUUCCCUUGUAUUGUCUCUAUCAUUUAUAGUUGUUCAGUUACUUUGAGGAGUCUUAAAACACUAUUUGUUAACAAUCUUAAAACAUAAACUUAUUUGUAAAAUGUUAUCCACAAAGUAAAGAUAUAUGGCCAACUGAAUCUCCAACUUAGAUCCAGCCGACACUCUACAUCUUUAAAUGCUUCUCAUGCACAAUUCACUGAUCAUUCUCAUAUUUUAGAAAAGAAUAGCCUAGUGCAUAAGACUCCCACCAGUGUACAAUAUAGAGAAAAUAUUUGAUGUCCUACUUUUGCAAAUAAGUGUUUUCAUGACUCAGUUAGAUCAUUAAUAGGAUGGUAUUUUGCGCUAGAAUGUAUAUUUACUUUUGCUUCUACAGCACAAACAAUUAAGAUAUAUUUUCACCAUACUCAUCAUCUUAGUAUGUGCUUUCAUCUCCUUGUUUUGGCGCAUCUUAUGCAAAGCAGGAGACAGGCAUUGAUCUCAUUGAGUAUGUACUGAUGGUUUCUCUCAUGAAAAUGUGCAUUGAUGUUCAGUUUAUCUGAAACUCUUCUCAGAAGUAUAAAUCCAUGUUUUUUAUCCAAUAAGAUAUUGAUGUUUUUCACUUAUCAAAUUUGGUUCUCCUUGAACAUAGAAAAUCAGAUAAGGAAAAAGUAAAGAGGGAAUCUACCUGCCUGAAUCUUCAGCUCAGAAAGCAAUACAGCACUCCAUGGACAUUUAUGCUACUUUGUUGAAAACUGAGGCAGAAAGCAUUUUGAGUAGUGAUUGAUUGGUACUGCAGCAAUUGGUCUUCGUUUGUUCUCUUCUUUACAAAGUGAAAUUAUAUAUGUAGUAAGAUUUUUAAAUUCUGAAAAUUUUGCACGAUUUUCUCAAGUAGAUACAUAUACAGGAAAUUUUUAUGUUCUGAAGGAUCUCUUUUAUACAAAUAUCCCUUCAGAUAUACAUGCUAAUGGCAAAUAUUACAUAUCUCUUGGGCAGGAUAGCCAAUAA